AAGUGAAGGACAAUUUCUUGACUGACAUCGUUGGAUCGAGCCUGCCGUUAAGUGGGUGAGAUUCCUGUUGGUCUUGGAAAUCGGUGCAGCCACACGCUUCAUCGGACCUCAUCUCAGGGAUAAUCCCCCCUUUCUAUUCACCACCCCCUCCUACGCAAACGCUCGCCGGCAUGGUCCCGCUUGAGCAUUCAAAAAACCGAACAACUGUUAACAAUGGAUAUCUUGGUUCUC
rnacentral:misc_RNA from 1 species